rnacentral:rRNA from 1 species
AGAGGUUGAUUCUGGCUCAGGAUGAACGUUGGCGGUGUGCCUAAUACAUGCAAGUCGAACGGUGACGAUUUUGUAGCAAUACGAAUGAAAUCAUAGUGGCGAACGGGUGAGUAACGCGUUGGUGAUCUGCCUCGAAGUGUGGAAUAACUUCCCGAAAGGGUAGCUAAUACCGCAUAGUCUCUCAAGGUUUAGAAAAUUGAGAGUAAAGGAUUUAUUCGCUUCGAGAGGAGCCUGCGUCCCAUCAGCUAGUUGGUAGGGUAAUAGCCUACCAAGGCAAUGACGGGUAGGGGACCUGAGAGGGUGGCCCCCCACAAUGGAACUGAAACACGGUCCAUACACCUACGGGUGGCAGCAGUAGGGAAUAUUAGAAAUGGGCGAAAGCCUGAUCUAGCAACACCGCGUGUGCGAUGAAGGCCUUCGGGUUGUAAAGCACUUUUUGGAGGGAAUAGGAAGGAAGGUACCUCCAGAAUAAGUCUCGGCUAACUACGUGCCAGCAGCCGCGGUAACACGUAGGAGGCAAACGUUAUCCGGAUUCACUGGGCGUAAAGCGCGUGUAGGUGGUUCUGUAAGUAGGGCGUGAAAGCUCCCGGCUCAACUGGGAGAGGCCGUACUAAACUGCAGAGCUAGAGGAUGGUAGAGGGAAGUGGAAUUCCAGGUGUAGUGGUGAAAUGCGCAGAUAUCUGGAGGAACACCAGUGGCGAAGGCGGCCUCCUGGACCAUUCCUGACACUCAGACGCGAAAGCUAGGGUAGCAACCGAAAGUAGAGACUCCGGUAGUCCUAGCCCUAAACGAUGCCCUGUGUUAGGCGUCGGCGGUUUAAUCACCGUCGGUGUCCAAGCAAACGCGAUAAGUCUGCCGCCCGAGGAUACCGGCCGCAAGGCUAAAACUCAAAGGAAUUGACGGGUCCCCGCACAAGCAGCGGAGCGUGUGGUUUAAUUCGAUGCUCCGCGAAGAACCUUACCUGGGUUUGACAUAACAGUGGUAGAGAAGUGAAAACGGAUCGACCCUUCGGGGAGCUGUUACAGGUGUUGCAUGCCUGUCGUCAGCUCGUGUCGUGAGAUGUUCGGUUAAGUCCGCUAACGAGCGCAACCCGCGCUGUGUGUUACAAGUGUCACACAGUACCGCCGGUAUUAAGUCGGAGGAAGGUGCGGAUGACGUCAAGUCAGCAUGACCUUUAUAUCCAGGGCUACACACACGCUACAAUGGUCAGAACAAUAGGUUGCCAAGCCGCAAGGCGGAGCCAAUCCUCCAAAUCUGGCCUCAGUUCAGAUUGCAGGCUGCAACUCGCCUGCAUGAAGUCGGAGUUGCUAGUAACCGCAGGUCAGCA